CUCAUACAUCAUUACUUGGUUACAAAUCGACCAACCCAUCUGGCACCUCUAGAUUCAAACAAUAUCGUUGCUACACCGCAAAAACUAGAUUCGAAAUACUGCUAUGGCAUCACCACUACUGUAGUGCCGAUGAGCGAAGACAUAACCUUAUCUCAUCAUCGCCAUUGAUCUUUUCCCAAGUCGAGACUUGAGUAAUGGCCUCAUAAUGUCGGCAUUUCUAUUAGACAAAGCAUUCAUAUACAGUGCGACGCUGCCUUUGUUUACUACAGUCUCUACCAGUUUUAUUUAUAUUCU
rnacentral:lncRNA from 1 species